rnacentral:rRNA from 1 species
GACGUAGGAGGCGAGCGUUGUCCGGAUUCAUUGGGCGUAAAGAGCGUGUAGGCGGUCCGGUAAGUCCGCUGUGAAAGUCGGGGGCUCAACCCUCGAAUGCCGGUGGAUACUGUCGGGCUAGAGUACGGAAGAGGCGAGUGGAAUUCCUGGUGUAGCGGUGAAAUGCGCAGAUAUCAGGAGGAACACCGAUUGCGAAGGCAGCUCGCUGGGACGUAACUGACGCUGAGACGCGAAAGCGUGGGGAGCAAACAGG